GCCUCAUACAUUAUUGAACGUUCCUAUUUUUUCUUCCCCAGUGAGCUUUCUUCUUAUUUUAAUAUCACCUGAUCUUUGUGCAGUGAAUUCCCUUGACACCAAACCAUGCAGAAGGCACAAAGAGGAGCUGUUCAGAAGAAGAACAAAACAAAGCCAACCGAGUCCACAGGUAAGCUGCCUGAUUCAUCAUUGAAAUCGUUUCUGGUGUACACAUGCUACGUGAGGAGGGAAAAACAGUGUGUAAGAAAAUCAUCCAGGAGAUGCAUUUUGGAGAGCAGACUCCCUCAGAGGUUCCUAAGCUGUUUUCGCUCCAGAAGCAGGGUGAGAAAGUGUUCAGUGUCCAGAGGGCUCUGUGAUGCCCAGGCACCACGUUUGCUCUGCCAGCAGUGGGUAGGAGGAGCACGUACAUAAGCCAUGUCACUACUGCUGCUGCAAACAUCAGGCUUGCUCUCUCAUUUACUCUCUUCUGUUUGAGUGGAAAAUGAAGAUAACGUUGAUAAAAGCAAGCCUGGCAUUAGCACUGAUACCUUACGUAAGUGCUACCUCUCUUUUGUAAUCUGUUUGCUCUGUUACAUAAAUUUGUUUUGCUCCUUUAUUCCCACUGACCAACAAAAAAUGAUGCUUUUCCUUCAAAUGGGAAAUUAGUUGUAUAGUAAAAAUAUUUACUGAGGCAUAGAGGUGCUGAUCCAUUUCCUGUUUGAGUCAAUAGAUAGCCUGUUAUUGAUUUCAGUGUUUUUUUGAGUCAGGCUCCAUGUUUUGUCUAUUUUUCGGUCGGUGAAUUUGCUGCUUAUGGGUGCUUUAUAAGGGAUAAUGGUCACCACGUCUGCGUCUUCUUGAGAGGAAUAGGAGCAUAACACAGAGUAAAAGUGAUCAUUUCAUAAGCUGAUAAUGUGUCAUUUUGAUGGGAUGAGAGGGAAUGGCCUCAGGUUGCACCAGGGGAGGUUCAGGUUGGAUGUUAGGGAAAAUUUCUUUGCCAAAGGAGUGGUGAUGCAGUGGCACAGCUGCCCAGGGAGGUGGUGCGGUCACUGUUCCUGGAGGUGUUCAAGCAACGUGUAGAUGUGGCACUGAGAGACAUGGUGCAGUGAGCAAUGUUGGUGGUGGGUGAACGAUCAGACUGGAUGAUCUUAGAGGUCUUUUCCAACCUGCAUGAAUCUAUGAUUAGAAUACAAAGCUGUGGGCUAUGUUUGGUAGGUAACAUCACUUUAUCUUGAAGGUCUACCUGUAUGAUGGCUGAGCGUCUCUUGGCAUUUUUCAUCCGUCGUGUAAUAGCUGCCAAUUUCUUUAAAACCUGAUGCAACGUGACAUUUAUGUCACAUCUGAUCUGCUUACAUUGUUUUAUGUCGUGUCAACUGAUGCGAUGUAACCAGACAUAGCCUAAUAGCCAGUGAUGUGCAAAACAGGCAACUUUUUUUCUUGUUGUGCUUGGACCAGGGUAAGACAUCACAAAAGGCAACAUAAUCUUUGACUGCAUGGAUGUGACAUUGUCACGUUAUCGGGGAAGAGUGACUGCAGGACUAUGUGUGACCCCAUCAUAGUACCCAUCUGAACAGGCAGCUCAGCUUCAUCCUCAGAAAUGACAACGAAGCACGUGAAAUCUCCUUAAUGGCGUUGGUGAUUCCCUGUUCUCAGGGGUCAGCUUCAGUUGUUACCAAGGUGUUGUGGACGAGUUCAGCGAAUGCUUUAUAGUUGGCUGUCUGCCUGAGUGAACGAGUGUGGAAAAAGGGAAAGUGUGCUAAGAGACCACAUUGCUGAGCAAUGGAGCUGCAGCAGAAAUCUGCAGAGAGACAGAGGCAGGAGGUCCUGCUGGUGUUUCUGACCCCAGCAAGAGUCAUGCAUGCUUGGGCUCCUUUGAGCACAGUGCAAUUUGGAGGUGUUGUGCUUAAGUUUCUCUGUGUGCAAUCCACAUCCAUGUGUUUGGGGGGACAAAGUGCACCCCACCUGUUGGGUGGCAGCGCUGUGUGUGGGCAUGUCAUGGCAUUAGGAGCCCUCACUAGGUGAGAAUGCAAAGGUGAUGUGUUCUGUUCAGUUGCUUUUUCAAAGUUGACUCACAGUGUGUCUGAAUGCCCAAACUCACAAGCACAGUAUUUAUUGUAUCCAGUUGCAUUUCUGUUGGGCUUUUCCUCCUUUACGUGAUGGGUUCCGAGCAGCCAGCUGACACAUGUUACCUGAAUGGUGACAAACACUGUAAAUAUUCCACUUUCUGCAAGAUGAAAUACAGUUGGUGGAAAAAAAAUCUUUAAGCAGGCUCUAUAGGUGCAGCGUUGAGUGAACUAUUUAUGGCUGUAUGAUAAAUAAAGCUAGGAAAGAUAUUUGUCAGAAAGCAGUGGGCCAGCUAAGUUAUAUUUGGUUUGAAAAGGCACUUAGGAACACUCAAAGAAAAUCAGCAUAGGUGAGGAAGGAGGAGUGGCUGCUGCUUACCCAAGUUAACUCUCAGCCUGGCUGCAGGCAAAACUCACUGCUAAAUGUGGAGGGGACCAGGACUAGAGAAGCUGCCAUCAGUUGCAGCAUCCAAAGCCAAGCCAGGAGACUGGCACAUCUGCUCCUUUGCUCAGCAUUGUUAUCCUAAAUUGAUUGCAUCGAAGCGCAUCUGCAGCGCUGUCACCAGCACUCUGCUGGACAGCUUCAUCUGCUGAGCAGCUGGCUUUCCUUCAUGAGACAUGAUAAUAUUUUAUUAGACCAGCAAAUGGUACUUGAUAAAACGAGUCUUAGCAGUGUUUUAAGAAAAUAAAAUAAGCUAAAAGCAUCAACCAUGCUGGGAAUUUCGUGCACAGGCGAUACAGGGCAGUGUGUCCACAUGGGGCUUGCCUCCCUUCUCUUGUGCCUCUGUGCAUCUUGGUCAGUACAUAGAUUUCCUACAGUUGAUGCCAUCCCCCUCCCAAAAGCUGCCAAAAGCAGAGGAGGGGCAAAUAUUUUCUUCUUUCUCCCCUGGUCUGAGCUGCACACACAUCUAUACACCCAAAGUCAGCAAGAGGGAAAUCAACUGUACUAGCAGUGCUGAUCCGAUUAGGCUGGCAGCAGAGCACAGACAAACACAAGCCCUUCCCACCAGCCAUUAUGAUGUCAGGAAAAUCUCUGUGACACUGCAAAGGUCCUUUGUAUUUCGGUUAGUUGCUUUCCCAGAACAAGCAAUGUUUCAUUUUAAUGUACUGCUCAUUACUUUUUUUUCUAUUAUUUUGAAAGUUAUAGGAGUUGUGAUAGCAUUUAAAUGGCAAGAGGUGGCUGAACUGCACCAGCAGCAACCUGCGAGCCCUGCUCAGCCCCUGGCAUUUUGGGAGGACCCUCAUUAUCCACACUGCUCAGCUCUUCCCAACAAGAUCACUUCUGUAGCUUCCUCCCAGGGACUUGUUUUCUUCCCUGGCGCUAUCUUGUGCUUUCUGUAACUCCAGCAACCCUCGUGUGCAGAUGCAGUUUGAUCCGGGCAAGGAUUGUAGUGCGCUAUGAAACAAAUCGGUUUGUUCUGAUUCCUCCUUACUGAGAAAAGGCUCACAGCUCCGAGGUGGCUGCUGAGCAGUAUGUGGGGCACAGCCAGCACAGGGCUUGGAAAUUACAAACAGCCAUCAGAUAAGUAUGCUCAGUAAACUGCUUUUAACUGCAUUUUGCUAACAGCGGCAAAAGAUUCCGACUACUGUGGAUUUCAGCUUUCUUGGCCAUUUGCAGACGUACAAAUAUCUCCCUCUGUGAUUUCUCCUUGCAGUACUGAUAGAUGCUAAAGCGGGUAAUGAAGCUAUAAACCUGCACAUCCACUUUGCCUUAUAUCUAUGGCUAGUUACUUAUGGGGACGAAGUCCACUCCUACAGAGAGUGGUACAGAGACACCAUUUCCCAACAAGAUAACGUAUGGUGAGGCAGACAAAAGCUUUGAAAGCUCCCAAAAAAGAGCAGCAAUUCGGUCAGGCCUCCCCACGUUCCUGUUCGCUGCUUCUUUAUGUAAUGUCUUUGAUAUGUGAACACUGGUAAGUGCUGGUUCUCCAGUUCCAUGUGUUACACACACAAGGGAGAAGAUCUAAACAGCACCUGCAGUGCCAAGAGAGCUUGCUGCUCAAUGGCUGUGCUCAAAAUAUUGUGUUAACCACAGAGAAUAAAUAGUGGAUAGCAGUUGCCCCUUCUGAUCGUUGUUGGAACAGUGCCUUUUCUGUGUUCAACACCCUGCCAAAAUAUUGCAAGGAAAAGAAUUAUGCUCUGCAGUCAUCCAUUUUCUGAGCUCCGAAGGCCUUGGCACAAUAAUUAAGUUAUUUCUGAUAAUUUUGGUCCGCAGCUCCUUUGCACACAGUGCAACAGCAAUGAAUCAUAGAAUCGCGAAGGCUGGAAAAGGCCACUAAGAUCACAGAGUCCAACUAUCAACCCCUCUACCCCAUGCCCAUAACCUCAGUGCCACAAAGGAGCGAUGGCAGAUCAAACAUGGGACUGAAUGCCAUAAAACCCCUGUGUAUUUGUAGGGAGAGCCCACUGCCAGAUCCUCCUCACCAGAAGGGUUUCUGGGAUCAGUGACAUCAUCAUUCCCAACCUCUUCUUUAAAUUUCAUCCUUGGGUCCAUCCACUGAGCCCUGGGAUUAAUCCAAGGGCUGAAUCCUUGAAUGCGUCACUGUUGAGGAUGGGGCUGGGGCCUCCCAAGACUCAGAGCAAUUAAAACUCUUCAGAUUUCACUUCAGACUCAGUGAUGUAUUUUUAUAUGCUGUAAGAUGCUGGGCAUAAUAGAUGAGAAAUGUUGGAGGGAGGUGAAAAGAAAGGAGCUCUUGGAAAAAUUCUUUAUUAAUGUUUUAGUGAGAGUUGAGUGAAAAGAGGCAUAUUCUGCAUGGAUUGAGAGGUGUCAAAGCCCAGUACCUGAGGCACUGUUUGAAAAGAAAGACCAAGGUGGUAAACACCCCCUGUGCUGCACCAGAAGCCUGAAGAGUGAGCUCAAACCAACCUCACAUUCCUGUUCUCUGCAAGUUGUGGCUCAUGGAUGUGUUGUUGAAGGGAGCUUCUGCAGCCUCUGCUAUCAGUGUGCAGCUCCAACGCUGGGCACAAUUAUGAGUCUAUCGUUUCAAAUUACCUUCUUCCAAGCACCCAUCUAUGAAACCAGAGCCACAUUUCAGACUCCUGAGCCUAUAAAUUCUUCCAUUGUCAAUGUUUGUUUUUAGAUUGAAGACAAGUGUAGUGUUUGGGGUAAUGAAAAAGAUAUAUCUCUGAAUCUGUAAGUCCCUUACGUUGCUUUGAAAUCCUGCUUGCAUGCAAUGCGUGCCUUCGAAAUGCUCGUGCUGCAUCUGUUCAUUGUAAUAAGUUGUGUAAAAAUAUUCCCCAUUAUUUUGCUUUGUGCUGAAGCUGGCAAUAUUAGCUAUUCCACUUGAAUGCUCUGGCUAGAAAACUGUGAAUUUCUUUUCUUCUGUGAUUUUCUCCUCUGUGUUUUUCAUCUCAUCACUGAGAUGGAAAUACUUUACCAGUUAAAUGGAGAAAAGAACAGUUAAGGCAGAUGCUGUUUCAUCAUCUGCUAACACAGAGGUCCUCAGCAUGCAGAAUGGUGGUUUACUGCAACAAAUUAAGUGUACAAACUCUUCAUGUGGAAGAAAUGAUUUCUGAAUUCCCUCUGAAACCCCAUUUCAUCUACAGCAAGAUGAGUUAAUGAAGAAAAUUACGAUUUCAUGUCUGUUAGUGCUGUAGAGAAACUUACUUUGUCUCUCAAAAGCAGUUUUCUAUUCUUUGUUGUUAUUUUAAACUCCUUCAGCCAUGAUUUGGAAACAGUGGCUGUGAUCGUUUCUGUAGCUGAAACUUUCUGUUGUCGUCCUCUUUGCUCAGGCAGAGCAAUGCCCCGUUAUUCAGGAAGCACCUUAAUCUCUACAGGGUAGAAUCAUAGAACCAUAGAAUAUCCCGAGCUGGAAGGGACCCAUGAGGAUCAUCGAGUCCAGCUCCUGGCCCCACACAGGACCAUCCAAAAUGGCAGUGGGUAAUGGGACCAUUGGUUCUUUAUCCAGGUUGGAGGCAAGAAGCAACAGGAUGAGAGGAAUGGCCUCAAGUGCCAGCAUAGGUUCAGGUUGGAUACUGGGGAAAACUUCUCAGGAAGAGUGAUGGUGUACUGGCACAGGGCUGCCCAGGGAGUGGUGGUGGGAUCACCAUCCCUGGAGGUGCUCCAGAACCAUGGAGAUGUGGCACUGAGGGACGUGGUGAUGGGCAUGGUGGGGUGGGCUGAGGUUGGACUUGGUGAUCUUGGAGGUCUUUUCCAGCCUUAAUGAUUCUAUGACAAACACAGCCUAUGAUUUGCUCAGUCCAUCCUGCAAUGUGUCAUGGCUUGAUGGGGUCUUCCGUUUCAGGGCGAGUCAUCCACAUCCAUCCCUUUCUGUGCAGCUCAGCACUUAGUCUUUUUGGCUCUUUGGCAAAGCACUGCUGCUGGGAUUUGGUGUGGGAGAGGCAGAGGGUGUCUUCCCUCGUAACGGUGAGGGUGCGUUUCUCUGGGGCUGUAAUGCUUACAGGAAGCGACGGCGCAGAGUUGGUUUGAUUUAUCCUUAAAGGCAGUAGGUACGUCUCAGUGCUGAGCUUUUGUGCUUUCAGCCACGGAUGCAGACAGGGAUUUUAUUGAAAGGAAGAAGAGAGCUGUCAUGAGAAAAUGUAGAUUUAGAUUCAUCUUAAAAAUAGAAAUUUAAUUUUAUUUCUAGAGUUGUGCCUUGGAAGUUUUCUUUUCAGGAGAGCAUUCUGUACUGCAUUUCUGCUAUAUCCUUUCUAGCUGGGAAACAAUUUGAUUGCUAAAUAGAACACUUCUAGGACUUUUCUUGACCACAACCACAGUUUGAUUUCCUCUCUAUAUUUCAGGCCUUUCUCAAGACCCAAAAUCAUCAUAAACCUUGUUAUGGUGACCCAGCAGUGCACCAAUGUAUGCCAGGAAUGGCUCAUUCCCUUUUCUUGGGCUCGUAAGGCUCAGAAAAAAUGCUUCAAUUCUGGUGCAGAUGAGGGAGAGAGAGUGUCUGCUCUCUUGGUGGUAAAACAAAGUCUUUGAAGAAUACAGCUAUGUCUGGAAAGAAUAGUAACAUUCAAGAAAAAAAGAAAGAAAGAAAAAGAAAUUUCACGAUGUAUUGUACUGUGAAACAGCUUCCUACUGUGUUUUAUGGGAACUUUUCUGAUUAUGUCAGACUUUUUUUAACCUACCUUUUUGCUUACAGGGUCUGAGUUAAUCUGUCAGUGCUCCUCUCCAACAGCAAGAGCACUUAGACAAUUAGUCCACUGCCAAGGGAGAUCUGGGGAUCGCUGUCGUCAGCUCCGAUGACAGUGCUAUAUUAAGGAUGCUUAAGGAAUACGAAAUCAAUGAGACAGUGGUUUGAAAUGACCCAAGGACUUUCCAGCCCAGUGAUUUAAUAUUGCAGUGAAUAAAAAAAUCUUAGUAAACAGUAGUGGUCUAGAACAGAAUCUGCCUGAAGGAAUUUUCCAAUAUUACUUUUAUUUGCUUGUCAUAAUACAUUUCAGCUGCGUUUUCCUUCUUCUGUUCCGUAUAUUAUAUAAAGGAUGAAGGAAAGUUUCCUAUUCGGUCUGAGUUUUUCACGAGCCUUUUCUCCUCACUAGUUAACCAGAAAGACAUUAAGAUACAAAUAUUUAAUUAACUGACGGAACAAUUUAAGCCAAGUCUGAAAGAGGUUCUUCCAGCCAUAGAUGGGCUGCUGGAGAAGCAACAAGGAGUGCAAACCCCUCACUUUGAGCCAUGUUUAAGUGUUUCUUUCUUCUUCUGUGCAGAAAGAAACCCUUUUGAUCUCACCCUUUUGUAAAGUAAAUCUUUGUCAGGUUAAAUGCAAAGAUCCCUAUCAGAAGGCACUUGGCUUUGACAAGCCUGACAGAGACCUACGUACUCUGCAACACGGUAAUGGCUGGCACUGAAAUGAAAAGAGCUUGGAUAAUGAAUAAAGAAUAUUUUUGUAGCAUGACUCAUAAGUAAUACAAAGACAUCUCUGGCAAUGUCUGUACUAAUUACAGACUAGUUGCUAUGUUGUUACAAUCGUGGAUAUUAAGUGUGUGGGAUGCUGAAGUGUGUGGGCAUCCUGCUAAGCCUGAGCUCAGCUCCCUGCCACUGUAAUCCUGUCUGUCCCAGCUGGAAAGUGGGCAAUGUAUGUAGGUGCCUAAAUACGGGCUGAGGAUGACUAAAUGUGUCUUAAAUUACGUUUUUUGCUGUUUUUCCCUCUUGGUCACAAACUUUUUGAGCUGUCAGAAAAUGUGAAGAAUGUCACGUGCUGUGGAUUGAAGUGCUGAAGGUGAUGCUCCAUGUGACGCUCCCCUCAGUUUUCUGCUCUAUUGCUGACAUUCAGGUGGAUAAACCAGGAGUAUUCUGAGUGAGUGUACUUAAAGAAUCACAGAGUGGCUGAGAUUGGAAGAGACCUUAGGGAUCAUUGACUCCAACCCCUGCCAUGGGCUGAGUGCUCCCCACCAGGUCAGGCUGCCCAGAGCCCCAUCCGUGGCCUUGGGCACCUCCAGGCAUCAAACAUUACUUAAAUAAGGAAAAGCUGUAAUCAGGUUCCAGUGUUCGAGUUCACUUUCCUGGCAAAGUUUUAAAGGAUUAUCAGUGAGAGUCAUACCAUCCACACCCCAAAGCAGCCCCCAGGAAGUAAAUUUUUGCAAAUAUAAUUGCUGUAUUGGUGCACUGCAUGUCAGCUUUGUAUGGGUUGAAUAGCAACUGCCUGUUGUUCUCUGUAGCGUGCAUGCAUUUGACUUUCAACAAGAGAUGAGAACAGACAUACCUUAAAUAUUCACAAGGAAAUGUCAGCACAGAUGAGGCAAUACAGGGGGAGGGAUGGAGGUGGGCUUGGCAUGGAUCAUUUCUGGCCUUGAGGCACGAGUAGCUAUUCUGGUCACAUUAUUCUCAGCAAUAUUAGUCCAGUAAUGCAAUGCAGAACUUGUCUUUAAUGGUAGCCUGUAAAUAAAAGACACGCUUAUUGUUAAAAACACAUUGGCUUGGGAAACUUGGCUGGCAGCAUGCAAUUUUAAGAACUGUCAUGAGACCUGCAUUAAUUAACCACAUGGGGAGAAUUCUCCCCACUGCAAGCCACAGUAAGGUUUGUUUUCAGAGAGUGAGCACCUUCACUGCUGGGGAGAGCGAGAGCCCAGGUGCCUCCCUCUGAGUACUUUGGCAUCUCACGGUUUCAAAGACCCCUACAAUUUCAAAGAUCCCCUCCUGUGCUGUCUCCUGGGGUGCCUACAUGGGGCCAGGCAGUUCUUGCAUUUGAAGGCAGCUUAAUGUACACAAUAUUUUUGCUACUUGCAUUGGUUGAUGGCAGAUACUUGCCUGAACCACUGCUCAGUUAACGUGGUGUAUAUUCUUUCUUGUCUUGACUGCAGGAUUUGAUAUAAUGAUUUCUCUUGCCACAAUCAUAGCGUAUGACUUCACACACAAGGCUUGUUCCAUUACCAUUUGUUUUUGCCAAUGUGCUAGCAAGUCUUCAUUUCCAAUUUAUCUCCCCUUCCUUCUAUACUUCUGCAGAUGCUGCAUUCUACUGACGUGCUAGAGGCUCUUAUAUUCAAGACUUCUUUAUUCUGCUUGGGAAAUCACAUCUUUACCUGUUCCUCUGCAUAUGAGCAUCAACUUUCCCUGAACAUAAAACACACUGUAGUAGUUGUGGUCUGGCUUCUCAUGCUGCCCUUUUCCCACCAUUUGUAGGAAAUUUGUUAAUGACUGAGGGAUAAAGACAUCAAG
ensembl:lncRNA